AUGGAUGUGAAUUUUGUUGGUAGGAAUAGUUUUGGAAACAAUGCUUAUAGAGGAAACUUUAAUCCUAGACUGUUCCCUAGUAAUUCCUCUAAUAAUUAUGGAAAUUCCUACAAUAAUUAUUAUGGUAAUUUUAAUAAGAUGCCCUCUGAUUUUGAGAAUAGUGUGAAUGAAUUUAUGAUCUCUCAAAAGAAUUUUAAUGCCUUGCUUGAAGAAAAAUUGCUCAAAGUUGAUGACUUGGCUAGGAACGUUGAUAGACUUUCGCUUGAUGUUGAUUCUCUUAAACUUAGAUCUACCCCUCAUAAGCAUUAUAUUAAUGAGUCUCUCAAAGCCAUGAGAAUUUCCAUUGACGAGUGCAAAGAAAGAACCACUAGAUUGCGUGCUAAGAAAGAUUGCUUUGUAAAGGUGUGUUCUUCUAGUUUCCAUGAAAAUAAUGAUGAAGAUCUUAAGGUUAUUGAUGUGUCCCCUAUUAGAUCUUUGUUUUGCAAUAUGAAUCUUAAUAAUGAUGGUACUGGAGAUGAGUCAACUUUAGUUAAAAGGUGUCCCAAUAAUUCGGAGUUUUUAGAUCUUGAAGCUAAUUUUGGUAAAACUGGGAUUGGAGAGGUCAAGACUUUAAAUAGCAUUGAACCCAGUAUCUUGGAUUUCAAGGAAUUUGAUUAUGAUAAUUGUUCUUUAGAAGGUUGUAUUUCCCUGUUGCAAUCCGUUGUAAAUUCUCCUCAUGCUUAUAGUCAAAAUAAAGCUUUUACCAAACAUAUUGUUGAUGCCUUGAUGCAAUCUUAUGAUGAAAAACUUAAUUUGGAAGUUUCUAUACCUAGAAAACUUAAUGAUGAGUGGGAACCUACUAUAAAGAUUAAAAUUAAAGAACAUGAGUGUUAUGCUUUAUGUGAUUUGUUUGCUAGUGUUUCCACGAUUCCGAAAACUUUAUGUGAUAUUCUAGGUUUCCAUGAUCUUGAUUAUUGCUCUUUAAAUUUGCACCUUGCGGAUUCCACCAUUAAAAAGCCAAUGGGAAGGAUCAAUGAUGUUCUCAUUGUUGCAAAUAGAAAUUUGGUGCCCGUAGAUUUUAUGGUUCUUGAUAUAGAUUGCAAUCUUUCUUGCCCUAUUAUUCUUGGUAGACCUUUCCUUAAAACAAUUAGCGUGAUUAUUGAUAUGAAGGAACGGAAUAUUAGAUUCCAAUUUCCAUUAAGGAAAGGCAUGGAGCACUUUCCAAGAAAUAAAAUUAAAUUACCUUAUGAAUCUAUCAUCCGGGCUACUUAUGAACUGAGUGCCAAAGAUGGCACUACUUAG
rnacentral:rRNA from 1 species